AUGCGCUAUAAAUAUACUGGCUGGAAGGUAGAAGCUGCAGUUUGGAAAAUGGAGGGUGCAAUCAUCAGCUUGACCGAGGGCGCCGUGCGAGGCCUCCUGUGCAAGCUCGGCGGCCUCCUCGCGCAGGAGAGCUGGCCGGUGCAGCGCCUCCACGGCGAGGUCCAGUACAUCAAGGACGAGCUCGAGAGCAUGACCGCCUUCCUCCGUAGUCUGGCCGAAUCGUCCGACGGCCACGACGACCAGGUCCGGGUCUGGGUGAAGCAGGUGAGGGAGAUCGCCUACGACGCCGAGGACUGCAUCGACGACUACGUCCGCGGCCGCCAGCCGUUCGACAGGGACGGCGGCGCCGUCAUGGCGUCCCUCCGCCACUUUGUCCGUCUGCUCGCCACGCUAGGAUCAGGCGGUGGUGGUCGCCGUCACCGGCGCAUAGCGGCCCAGCUCCAAGAACCGAAGACUCGCGCCAGGGACGCCGGCGAGCGGCGUUCCAGGUACGGGGUGCUGCCGCCAAAGACGGCGCUCGGGCGUGCCAGCAGCCACGCGUCCAGCUCCGGCGUCUCCGGCCGCCUGGACCCGCGGCUGCACGCCCUCUUCACCGAGGAGGCGCAGCUGGUGGGCAUCGACGGGCCGAGGGACGAGCUCGUGGGCUGGCUGAUGGAGGACGACGCGCGGCUCCGGGUGCUCGCCGUCGUCGGGUUCGGUGGGCUCGGCAAGACCACGCUGGCGAGGAUGGUGUGCGAGAACCCACGGGUGAAGAGCGCUGACUUUCAGUGCUCCCCGUUGCUCAUCGUGUCGCAGACGCUAAACGUCAGGGCGCUGUUCCUGCACAUGCUCAGGGAACUGACCCAGCGGCCGCGCCUGGCUGCCGGCGACGAUACCAUGGAUGAUAGCUUGCACGGGGCGGAGAGCUGGGAAACGGCGCUGCUGGCCAACAAGCUCAAACUUUACCUGCAAGACAAAAGGUACGUACAUCCGCAUCAGUGGACCGAGACCAAGUCACGCACUAUUGGGCAUUAA
rnacentral:rRNA from 1 species